UUUCAGCCCCUUGUCUUUCCUACUGUCUUAUUUGGAAUUUUCAGUCUCUCAUACGAUAACAUGGCGGUUCGAUAUUCAAGACUCUCCCUUCUUCUGAUCUUAAUGAUCAUCAUACUUUUGACUAGCCAACUCUCAAGUUGCAGCGACGCCACGAGAUGGGCGAGUAAGGGAAUCAAGCAAACAGAAAAGAAAAACUCUUUUCGUCGGUUCUCAAGUUCAAUGCAAUUCUAUACAAAGACACAACAGGUACCCGACACAGAAGAGGUCCAUCCGAUUUAUGGAGUUUCUCUACAUGAUGUUCCAGGAGGUCCAAACCCGCUUCAUAACUAA